GGUGAAGUUACUUUAUUUGGCGUUGAAGCUCGGACCUACUGUGUACGUGUUUGGUGGAACCACGGUUGAAGAACGCAUAUUUUAACUACCAACUCUGCGGUGAUUCUCCAAAAUGCACUGUUGUCUGACUGAUAGAACCUUCCAAAGCCUUCUAGUCGUAUUAUGGAACCUAACACAGGCACACUGAGGCGCCCGAGCGAACACGCAGCGCACAUGCAAUAUGGCGAAAAUGGGAGAGUUUUCAUGAACUACCAACUCUGCGGUGAUUCUCCAAAAUGCACUUGUGUCUGACUGAUAGAACCUUCCAAAGCCUUCUAGUCGUAUUUUGGAACUUAACACAGGCACACUGAGGCGCCCAAGCGAAC